CACCACUGACAGUUGAAGCUGCCAGCAUGAUCUAAACUGCUCUCUAUGUAGAGAAGACUAGAUCAUGUGGCAGUUUCACCUCUUGAUGGU